UACGAAGGGGGCUAGCGUUGUUCGGAAUCACUGGGCGUAAAGCGCACGUAGGCGGAUCUUUAAGUCAGGGGUGAAAUCCCGAGGCUCAACCUCGGAACUGCCUUUGAUACUGGGGAUCUCGAGUCCGGGAGAGGUGAGUGGAACUGCGAGUGUAGAGGUGAAAUUCGUAGAUAUUCGCAAGAACACCAGUGGCGAAGGCGGCUCACUGGCCCGGAACUGACGCUGAGGUGCGAAAGCGUGGAGAGCAAACAGG
rnacentral:rRNA from 1 species